rnacentral:rRNA from 1 species
GAUGAACGCUGGCGGCGUGCCUAAUACAUGCAAGUCGAGCGAACGGACGAGAAGCUUGCUUCUCUGAUGUUAGCGGCGGACGGGUGAGUAAAACGUGGAGAACCUACCUAUAAGACUGGGAUAACUUCGGGAAACCGGAGCUAAUACCGGAUAAUAUUUUGAACCGCAUGGUUCAAAAGUGAAGGACGGUCUUGCUGUCACUUAUAGAUGGAUCCGCGCUGCAUUAGCUAGUUGGUAAGGUAACGGCUUACCAAGGCAACGAUGCAUAGCCGACCUGAGAGGGUGAUCGGCCACACUGGAACUGAGACACGGUCCAGACUCCUACGGGAGGCAGCAGUAGGGAAUCUUCCGCAAUGGGCGAAAGCCUGACGGAGCAACGCCGCGUGAGUGAUGAAGGUCUUCGGAUCGUAAAACUCUGUUAUUAGGGAAGAACAUAUGUGUAAGUAACUGUGCACAUCUUGACGGUACCUAAUCAGAAAGCCACGGCUAACUACGUG